rnacentral:rRNA from 1 species
GUACUGUGAGGUAUGCUGGAGGUAUCAGAAGUGCGAAUGCUGACAUAAGUAACGAUAAUGCGGGUGAAAAACCCGCACGCCGGAAGACCAAGGGUUCCUGUCCAACGUUAAUCGGGGCAGGGUGAGUCGACCCCUAAGGCGAGGCUGAAAAGCGUAGUCGAUGGGAAACGGGUUAAUAUUCCCGUACUGGUGGUAACUGCGAUGGGGGAACGGAGAAGGCUAGGUUGUCCGGGCGACGGUCGUCCCGGUUCAAGCAGGUAGGCAGAGUGAUUAGGCAAAUCCGGUCACUUAAUGCUGAGAUGUGAUGACGAACCACCAAGGUGGUGAAGCAAUUGAUGCCCCGCUUCCAGGAAAAGCCUCUAAGCUUCAGGUUACCAACAAUCGUACCCCAAACCGACACAGGUGGUCAGGUAGAGAAUACUCAGGCGCUUGAGAGAACUCGGGUGAAGGAACUAGGCAAAAUGGUGCCGUAACUUCGGGAGAAGGCACGCUGGCGGUAGGUAAAGUCCCUCGCGGACGGCGCUGAAGCCAGUCGAAGAUACCAGCUGGCUGCAACUGUUUAUUAAAAACACAGCACUGUGCAAACACGAAAGUGGACGUAUACGGUGUGACGCCUGCCCGGUGCUGGAAGGUUAAUUGAUGGGGUUAGCGUAAGCGAAGCUCCUGAUCGAAGCCCCAGUAAACGGCGGCCGUAACUAUAACGGUCCUAAGGUAGCGAAAUUCCUUGUCGGGUAAGUUCCGACCUGCACGAAUGGCGUAAUGAUGGCCAGGCUGUCUCCACCCGAGACUCAGUGAAAUUGAACUCGCUGUGAAGAUGCAGUGUACCCGCGGCAAGACGGAAAGACCCCGUGAACCUUUACUAUAGCUUGACACUGAACAUUGAGCCUUGAUGUGUAGGAUAGGUGGGAGGCUUUGAAGUGUGGACGCCAGUCUGCAUGGAGCCAACCUUGAAAUACCACCCUUUAACGUUUGAUGUUCUAACCUAGGCCCAUAAACUGGGUCGGGGACCGUGUCUGGUGGGUAGUUUGACUGGGGCGGUCUCCUCCUAAAGAGUAACGGAGGAGCACGAAGGUUGGCUAAGCAUGGUCGGACAUCAUGCGGUUAGUGCAAAGGCAUAAGCCAGCUUGACUGCGAGAGUGACGGCUCGAGCAGG